rnacentral:rRNA from 1 species
AUUGAACGCUGGCGGCAUGCCUUACACAUGCAAGUCGAACGGUAGAGUAGCAAUACUUGAGAGUGGCGAACGGGUGAGUAAUGCAUCGGAACAUGCCCAGUCGUGGGGGAUAACGUAGCGAAAGUUACGCUAAUACCGCAUACGAUCUAUGGAUGAAAGCGGGGGACUCGCAAGAGCCUCGCGCGAUUGGAAUGGCCGAUGUCAGAUUAGGUAGUUGGUGGGGUAAAAGCCCACCAAGCAAACGAUCUGUAGCUGGUAUGAGAGGACGAACAGCAACAAUGGGACGAAGACACGGCCCAGACUCCUACGGGAGGCAGCAGUGGGGAAUUUUGGACAAUGGACGAAAGUCUGAUCCAGCAAUGCCGCGUGCAGGACGAAGGCCUUCGUGUUGUAAACUUCUUUUGUACGGAGCGAAAAUCUUUGGAUUAAUACUCCGAGGUCAUGACGGUACCGUAAGAAUAAGCACCGGCUAACUACGUGCCAGCCGCCGCGGUAA